GUGAGUCAUCGAAUCUUUGAACGCACAUUGCGCCCUGUGGUAUUCCGCAGGGCAUGCCUGUUCGAGCGUCAUUUCAACCCUCAAGCUCUGCUUGGUGUUGGGCCCCGCCCCUGCGGCCGGCCCUAAAGUCAGUGGCGGCGCCGUCUGGCUCUAAGCGUAGUACAUCUCUCGCUCUAGGGUCCUGCGGUAGCUUGCCAGAACCCCAACUUCUAUGGUUGACCUCGGAUCAGGUAGGGAUACCCGCUGAACUUAAGCAUAUCAAUAAGCGGAGGA
rnacentral:misc_RNA from 1 species